rnacentral:rRNA from 1 species
UUGAUGGAGAGUUUGAUCCUGGCUCAGGACGAACGCUGGCGGCGCGCUUAACACAUGCAAGUCGAACGAGAUACUCAGAGCUUGCUCUGAGUGGAAAGUGGCGAACGGGUGAGGAACACGUGAGGAACCUGCCCCGAAGACCGGGACAACAUCGGGAAACCGGUGCUAAUACCGGAUGUCCUCGCCGAAGCUCAUGCUUUGGUGAGGAAAUGGAUUCCGCUUCGGGAUGGCCUCGCGGCCUAUCAGCUUGUUGGUGAGGUAACGGCUCACCAAGGCUUCGACGGGUAGCUGGUCUGAGAGGAUGUCCAGCCACACUGGGACUGAGACACGGCCCAGACUCCUACGGGAGGCAGCAGUGGGGAAUAUUGCACAAUGGGCGCAAGCCUGAUGCAGCGACGCCGCGU